rnacentral:tRNA from 1 species
AAGGGUUUAGCUUAAUUAAAGUGUCUGUUUUGCAUUCAGAUGAUGUAGGUUUAUAAUCUUGCAGUCCUUA